AUUAUUGCUAUGAUUAGGAGUAGUACUAUACACUUGUAAUUUUAGAGAGCUGCUGUUUUGGUGUAAAGCAGUAUUACAAAUAUAGGAACUUGUCUAUAAGCUUACUUGAGAUAAUAAUCAAGUACGGUUUUAACCGUUAAAUUAUUGAGUGAGGAAAUUUCACAAUUUGAGAUUUUCUAACAAGAGUGGUAACGCGGAAGUAUCCUUUCGUCUCUUAU
rnacentral:ncRNA from 1 species